CAAUUUCACCCACUCUUCCACUCACACUUAUAAGCUGACCCACUCUUCCACCCACACUUAUAAACUGAUUUCACCUAUAAAAGCCUCCAUCCUUUAACGCCUAUUCAUCCCAAAAUCAAUUCUUCUCAUUGAGCUUUCUACUUAAUUCAGUUUCCCAAUCUUGAGCUUCUUCUCAAUCAUAUUCUACAGCAGCUGAACAAUAGAAUAAUCUCAUAAUAAUUUCAUAAAACAAAGGAUCGCCUUUUACUCAACCAUCGACUGGCUUUGUGACCAGGGGGAUUAGCGCUGCUUUCCCAAGACAGGUUUUUAUGUGUAUGAUCUUCAGGCUUUGCCUAUCCAGGUGGGCUUACUUUCCAAAUGUACAAAGUAUGAUUGAGUUAUUAAGCUCUAAAUGUUUCAAUGAAAUGCAAAUUGUUUAUUUAAUGUAAUGAAAACUGUUUAUCCAAUAAAAUGUUUAUGUGCACUCUGCUCUGUUUAAGGCUCGCAUAAGUUAAUCGAUCGAGGUUCUCUUAUGACCUAACACGUUAUUUGAGAAUUGUGUACACCUAUUAGCUGACUCGGUGGGUUGAUCUCCAUUCGGGCACUAAUCAUGUAUGAGGCGUUAUAAGGGUGCUCGACGGGAUGUGUUCCGGAGCAUUGGGUCCCAAAUGGGAACUUGACUGGGUUACGCCCUCAGUUCAAGUAAAGCGGGAGAUAUGGAUCCGUCGGUGGCUAAAAGGUCCGGGAUCACAGCGAGUAACAGAAAGGGAGUGUGACAUGUGCGCACAAAUGAAAAAUGUUUUAACAUGCUUAGAAGUUAUUUCAUUUUAAAACCUUCUAAGUCAUGUCAAGUAUAAUUGGAUAAACUGCUCUUACGAAAAUAUGAAAUGUUUAUGAAAAUGCAUGCCCACUAAGUACAUUAGUACUUAGCCCAAAAAUACUUUCAAAUGUUUUCAGGUUGGCUGGCUGGUGCUGACGGGACGGAGCUGAGGCUAGAGUUAAAAUUCAUAUGUUAGACUUCCGCUGUAGCAAUUACUCUUAUACAUCUUUUGUUUUCUCAACUUAAGAUGACUUCAUGUCGAGCUUAAAUUUGAAAUUCUACUUUUAUGCUAAUGAAUGUUGGUUGUCAGAAACAUGAAACAAAACUUGUGAUCCAAAGGGGCAUAGCCCGACUUUCUAUCCUAUUUCGGGUUUUUACAAGGUUGUUCCUUGUUUAUUUCUA